rnacentral:rRNA from 1 species
AUUGAACGCUGGCGGCAGGCCUAACACAUGCAAGUCGAGCGGAUGAAGGGAGCUUGCUCCUGGAUUCAGCGGCGGACGGGUGAGUAAUGCCUAGGAAUCUGCCUGGUAGUGGGGGAUAACGUCCGGAAACGGGCGCUAAUACCGCAUACGUCCUGAGGGAGAAAGUGGGGGAUCUUCGGACCUCACGCUAUCAGAUGAGCCUAGGUCGGAUUAGCUAGUUGGUGGGGUAAAGGCCUACCAAGGCGACGAUCCGUAACUGGUCUGAGAGGAUGAUCAGUCACACCGGAACUGGGACACGGUCCAGACUCCUACGGGAGGCAGCAGUGGGGAAUAUUGGACCAUGGGCGAAAGCCUGAUCCAGCCCUGCCGCGUGUGUGAAGAAGGUCUUCGGAUUGUAAAGCACUUUAAGUUGGGAGGAAGGGCAGUAAGUUAAUACCUUGCUGUUUUGACGUUACCAACAGAAUAAGCACCGGCUAACUUCGUG